AGGGAAACGUUACUGAUAAUAACUGGAUAAGUUAGUAUAUCGCAUGAUAUGCAAAUGAAAGCUACGGCACUAAAGGAGAGCUUUUGCGUCCUAUUAGCUAGUUGGUAAGGUAAGAGCUUACCAAGGCGAUGAUAGGUAGCCGGCCUGAGAGGGUGGACGGCCACAAGGGGACUGAGAUACGGCCCUUACUCCUACGGGAGGCAGCAGCA
rnacentral:rRNA from 1 species